UUAAAUGGAACUUACCUCCAGAAAACUGGUUCGUCUUGAAUACUGAUGCCUGAUGGGUGCAUGUGCUGGUAAUCCUGGCCCUAUGGGUAUUGGAGGAGUUAUCAGAAACUGGUAGGGUCAAUUUAUAGUUGGGUAUAGUCAAUUGCAGAAGCUGUAAACAAGAUUGAUUGCAUACCUGGGUUGGAUUCGGCUGCAGCCAUCAAGCCUUCGAACAAGGAUCUCUACCUUGGAGGAUGAUAAAAGUACGAUGGAAAACACUUCGGAGGCAGGCUGCAGUCCUGUCUAUUCUCACACAUUUGAUCAAGCUGCAAAGAAGGGAGGGAACUACUUUGGCGGCUGGUGAGGAACUGUGCAUUGAAGGGAGGCCACCUUGGAUUGUAGAGAUGGGAAAAUCCUAAUCAGGGUUUUGUGAGGCUUUAGUAGAGUCUGAGCCUCUGAGGUGCUGUCUAGUAUCCAGUUUUUGUAACUACAAUAUUAUUAAUACAAGCUCACCUUUUUGCAAAAAAAAAAUAAAUAAAUAAAAGUAAAAAUCUAAUACUGUAUUUUGUUAGAUCCUAAAAAUUGUUUAGCUUGCAGGUUGGUUGCUUGUGACGUUUGAACAUCCACAGGUUUGUAACUCUUAAAAGUUUUCAUAACAAGAGCCUGCUAAAUAUUGAAAAACCACCCUUGCAAAAAUGGGAGAAUACUCCCUAUAAAUCUCAGUUCACAUUUGCUUUAUUUCCAUCAUCUAAAUAACAACUGACUACCAUGGCCAUGAAGAGGGUGUUGGGUCUAUGCAUUGUUGCAUUCCUCGUCUGCUCCCUCUUUGUUGAAACAACAAAUGCAGAAGAAGCCAGCUUUCAUGUGGAAGAUCUUGGAUUGCCAGUUUCGAAGAAUGGCAUUGUAUGCGACGGUGGAUGUCGUGGGGGUUCUAGAAAGUUGUUGCACAAGAAGAAAAAUGGCCACGGUCCUCAUGGAGAUAAUGUUGACAUGAGGGUUAUUGAUGAGGAAUCAAUUCCAUGGUAGAUGGUAGAUUAUUCAUCCGGCUCCAACAAGAUUGGAAGUUUUACGUUUUCAUCUUGAUGUAGUCGUUAAUUCAUUACACGUCAUUACUAAACCACUCCAAUUGAAAGUAAUCUGUAUUAUCCCUCAAUAAAUGUUCAUCUUCUGAUCAAUUAAAUUUCUUUGAAAAUUCA
rnacentral:lncRNA from 1 species